rnacentral:rRNA from 1 species
UACGUAGGGUGCAAGCGUUAUCCGGAAUUAUUGGGCGUAAAGAGCUCGUAGGCGGCUUGUCGCGUCGACUGUGAAAUCCCGCGGCUCAACUGCGGGUCUGCAGUCGAUACGGGCAGGCUAGAGUUCGGUAGGGGAGACUGGAAUUCCUGGUGUAGCGGUGAAAUGCGCAGAUAUCAGGAGGAACACCGAUGGCGAAGGCAGGUCUCUGGGCCGAUACUGACGCUGAGGGGCGAAAGCGUGGGGAGCGAACAGG